UCUCUCUGAAUCUGCGAACGGCUCCGCAAACCAGUUGUAAACUAUAGCAAGCUCUCCUAUGGUCGCCCCUUCACGGGGGGGGUCUGGGAAAUAGGGAUAACCCUGGUAAUUCUGAGGCUAAUACCACCACGUAAAACCUGGCUGACUGGGCAACCGGAAGGCUGGGGGGCGUGCAAUUUUUUCGCGAGGUUUACCGGGAAGGGACGCACGUCUGGACCGCGCAAAACGGAUGACUGGGCCUUCGGGACUGGGCUUCUAGCGGCUCUUGCUGUGUGCUUCUGACCUAUCAACUAGAUGGCAGCGUAAGGGACAUGCUAUGGUGACAACGGGUACAGAGGAUUAGGGUUCGAUCCUGGAGAGUGGGCCUGAGAGAUU
rnacentral:rRNA from 1 species